AACAUAGCCUACUAUUUAACUUAGGUACAACCCUGCCCUCUGACUUUUAACAGCCGCGGUAUCCUAACCGUGCUAAGGUAGCAUAAUCACUUGCCUAUUAAUUAUAGGCUAGAAUGAACGGGAUCACUCACUUAAACUUAUUUUUAUUUAAAUUUAAAUUAAACUUUAAGUCAAAAUACUAAAUUAAAAAGAAAGACAAAAAGACCCUGAAAACUAUUAGAAAUAAUUAGUUGGGGCAACUAUAGACCACUCUAGCGUCUAUUUUUUUUAAACUCUUAAAAUCUAAAGUAUCCAGUUACUUCAGGGAUAACAGACUAAUUUUAUUAUUUAGACCCAAUAAAUAAUAAAGAUUGGCACCUCGAUGUUGGCUUAUAUUUCCUUCAUAUAGCAACAUAUAUAGAAGGCAGCUUGUUCAUCUGUUAAAUAUUUACAUGAGCUGAGU
rnacentral:rRNA from 1 species